CUACGGGGUGCUCCAGUGGGGAAUAUUGGACAAUGGGGGAAACCCUGAUCCAGCAAUGCCGCGUGUGUGAAGAAGGCCUGCGGGUUGUAAAGCACUUUCGGUUGGGAGGUCUGCUUCUAGCACUAAUAUUGUUGGAAGUUGACGUUACCUUCAGAAGAAGCACCGGCUAACUCCGUGCCGGCAGCCGCUGUAAUACGGAGGGUGCAAGCGUUAAUCGGAAUUACUGGGCGUAAAGCGCGCGUAGGCGGCUAGAUCAGUCGGGUGUGAAAGCCCCGGGCUUAACCUGGGAACUGCAUCCGAUACUGUCUAGCUUGAGUACAGGAGAGGAGAGUGGAAUUCCACAUGUAGCGGUGAAAUGCGUAGAUAUGUGGAGGAACACCAAUGGCGAAGGCAGCUCUCUGGCCUGAUACUGACGCUGAGGUGCGAAAGCGUGGGGAGCAAACAGGAUUAGAUACCCCUGUAGUC
rnacentral:rRNA from 1 species